rnacentral:rRNA from 1 species
AUACGUAGGUGGCAAGCGUUGUCCGGAACUAUUGGGCGUAAAGGGCUCGCAGGCGGUUUCUUAAGUCUGAUGUGAAAGCCCCCGGCUCAACCGGGGAGGGUCAUUGGAAACUGGGAAACUUGAGUGCAGAAGAGGAGAGUGGAAUUCCACGUGUAGCGGUGAAAUGCGUAGAGAUGUGGAGGAACACCAGUGGCGAAGGCGACUCUCUGGUCUGUAACUGACGCUGAGGAGCGAAAGCGUGGGGAGCGAACAGGAUUAGAUACCCUGGUAGUCCACGCCGUAAACGAUGAGUGCUAAGUGUUAGGGGGUUUCCGCCCCUUAGUGCCGCGGCUAACGCAUUAAGCACUCCGCCUGGGGAGUACGGUCGCAAGACUGAA